ensembl:snRNA U6 U6 spliceosomal RNA
ACGCUUACUUCGGGAGCUCAUAUGCUAAAAAUAGAACAGUACAGAGAAGAUGAGCAUGGCCCUCAUGUAAGGAUGUCAUGCAAAUUCAUUAAGCAUUUCAUAUUUUG